rnacentral:lncRNA from 1 species
CCCUCCUCCAGCUCCCACAGAGUAGGAGUGUAUCUGGACUGGUCAGCCGGCACUCUGUCCUUCUAUAGAGCCUCCUCUGACACACUGACCCACCUGAUCACAUUCACCUCCACAUUCACUGAGCCCCUCUAUCCAGGGUUUGGGGUUGAUUAUGAAUCCUCAGUGUCCCUGAAAUAAUAACUGGACACACACACACACACACACACACACACACACACACACACACACACACACACACACACACACACACACACACACACACACACACACACUGGACACAGACACACACACACACACAAACUGGACACACGCACACACUGGACACAGACACACACACACACUGGACACAGACACACACACACACUGGACACACACACACACACACACAGGACACACACACACACACCAACACACUGGACACACACACACACACUGGACACACACACACACUGAACAUACACACAGGACACACACACACACACUGGAUAUACACACACUCAACACACACACACACACACUGGAAACAAAUUGGACACACACACACUGGACACAAAAUGCACACACACUCACAGACAUUCUGGACACACACACACACACACUGGACACAAACUGGACACACACAUAAACAUACACUCAACACACACACACACUGAACACACACACAAACACUGGGCACAUACUCACACACACACACACACACACACACUCUGGACAUACACACACACACUUGACACAGACACUGGACACACACACACAUUUUGGACACACACACUCACACACACACACACAGGACACACACACACACUGGACACACACACUGGACACACACACAUACACACACACACACACUGAACACACACACACUGAACACACACACACACUGAACACACACACACACACUGAACACACACACACACUGGGCACAUACUCACACACACUGGACACACACACACUCUGGACACACACACACACACUUGACACAGACACUGGACACACACACGCACUGGACAGGUCCCCCUCUCCAUGUAAUCUGAUUCAUUAUGAUAUAGGAUCAGGUCCCCCCUCUCCAUGUAAUCUGAUUCAUUAUGAUCUAGGAUCAGGUCCCCCCUCUCCAUGUAAUCUGAUUCAUUAUGAUCUAGGAUCAGGUCCCCCCUCUCCAUGUAAUCUGAUUCAUUAUGAUCUAGGAUCAGGUCCCCCCUCUCCAUGUAAUCUGAUUCAUUAUGAUCUAGGAUCAGGUCCCCCCUCUCCAUUUAAUCUGAUUCAUUAUGAUCUAGGAUCAGGUCCCUCCUCUCCAUGUAAUCUGAUUCAUUAUGGUCUAGGAUCAGGUCCCCCCUCUCCAUGUAAUCUGAUACACGUACAUACAUACAUACACACUGUAUAUAUACACGUACAUACAUACAUACACACUGUAUAUAUACACGUACAUACAUACAUACACACUGUAUAUAUAUACACGUACAUACACACUGUAUAUAUAUACACGUACAUACAUACAUACACACUGUAUAUAUAUACACGUACAUACAUACAUACACACUGUAUAUAUAUACACGUACAUACAUACAUACACACUGUAUAUAUAUACACAUACAUACAUACACACUGUAUAUAUAUACACGUACAUACAUACAUACACACUGUAUAUAUAUACAUACACGUACAUACAUACAUACACACUGUAUAUAUAUACAUACACGUACAUACAUACAUACACGUACAUACAUACAUACACACUGUAUAUAUAUACAUACACGUACAUACAUACAUACACACUGUAUAUAUAUACAUACACGUACAUACAUACAUACAUACACACUGUAUAUAUAUACAUACGUGUACAUACAUACAUACAUACACACUGUAUAUAUAUACAUACAUACAUACACACUGUAUAUAUAUACAGAAAUCCACUGUUUAUUUGAGGUAAAAAGGGAUGACCAGAGAGUACCCAUGAAGUUGUACAACAUUUGACAAGACAGUCAAGACCUAAGCAGUGUGCCAGAUGACCUUUGGCCUCCAAUAUAGGCCCCUUUCUGUGUUUGCUAAAAUUGCAGCGAUGCACACGCAAUUUGGUUGUAGAAACUCCUCCAUUCUAAUGAGGAAACCACUAGUUAUGGAUGUAGUAUAUCUGCUAAUGAGGAAACCACUAGUUAUGGAUGUAGUAUAUCUGCUAAUGAGGAAACCACUAGUUAUGGAUGUAGUAUAUCUGCUAAUGAGGAAACCACUAGUUAUGGAUGUAGUAUAUUUGGUAAUGAGGAAACCACUAGUUAUGGAUGUAGUAUAUCUGGUAAUGAAGAAACCACUAGUUAUGGAUGUAGUAUAUCUGGUAAUGAGAAAACCACUAGUUAUGGAUGUAGUAUAUCUGGUCAUGAGGAAACCACUAGUUAUGGAUGUAGUAUAUCUGGUAAUGAGGAAACCACUAGUUAUGGAUGUAGGAUAUCUGGUAAUGAGGAAACCACUAGUUAUGGAUGUAGGAUAUCUGGUAAUGAGGAAACCACUAGUUAUGGAUGUAGUAUAUCUGCCUGGAGCAAAAAUGGUGAGCGAAGAUGAUCGUUUUUCACAAUGUAUUCUGAAUAUUACAGCGCACUAUCAGGACAAGAUCAGGAGUGCUACUCAAGUAAACUCACAUUAAGUUCUGUCUAUUCACUAAUUCAGCACUGUGGGGGAAAACUCAGGAGAGUUCUCAUAGGCUGACAGCAAAAAUAGCCUCCAUUUACAGGUUGCAUAUGAGUGCAUUUAACAUUACUUUUGGAUUAUAAUUGUAAAGCUCGUUUGAACCUCCUGCUUAAUAUGUUUGCGUUAUUGUCGCAAAUCAACUGCUUUACACUUAAAAAACACUUCAACCAGUAAAAUGCUCUUUGGCUAGCUUUAACAUCAGCCUGACAAUGAGGGUUUGUACACUAAGUGUUUAACAAAUUGGCCCAUAACUUCACCUAACAAUAACAUAGACCUACUGUAGGACCCAUAACUUUAUCUAACAACGACAUAGACGUAGGACUAUAAAUCAUUUAAUAUUUCAGGUGAAACAUGGACACUAAAAUGUCUGUCGUGACGUUUCAUAACCUGAUCACCAGAUAAUUUUGUGAAUAAUCCCACUAGGCUACUCUGUAAUGUGUUGUCAUUCUAAAUGUCCUGAAUAAAGGAAAAUAGCUCUGUGUGUUGAACAAUAGCCUAUCCAUCAAGGAACAGUUCUCUACACAUUAUGAGCAAAGUAGGGAUGUUGGAUCCAACGUGGAGUGUAUCUCUGUGCACAAACAGAGUAAUGAGACCCUACUGUAAAUCAGCCAGACAGUAACACAUUAUAAACAUCGAUUUGUUUGGGAUGUUGGAUCCAACGUGGAGCACGGCAUAACUGUCUUUACCAGAGUAAUGAAUGAAGAAGCACUUUGGUUGUUGUUGCAUGUCGUGAUGUUUGUCAUGUGACUGUCAUUCAGAAAAUGAUUUCGUGGAUCAGCUGAUGAUAGUUGAACAUGUGACUGUAAAUAAACAGCUACAGUAUUAAGAAUUAUGUGUAAUUAUUGAAGAACCACGUUAAUGACAGUAUCCAUUUGGGUGUUGUCA